rnacentral:misc_RNA from 1 species
GAUGAAGAACGUAGCGAAAUGCGAUACUUGGUGUGAAUUGCAGAAUCCCGCGAAUCAUCGAGUUUUUGAACGCAAGUUGCGCCCGAAGCCAUUCGGCCGAGGGCACGUCUGCCUGGGUGUCACGCAUCGUUGCCCCCCCAAACUCCGGUUUGGGCGGGGCGGAAGUUGGCCUCCCGUGCGUGCCUGCGCGCGCGGUUAGCCCAAAAGCGAGUCCUCGGCGACGAGCGCCACGACAAUCGGUGGUUUUUUUACCCUCGUUCCUCGUCGUGCGUGUCCCGUCGCCCGAACGCGCUCUUGUGACCCUCACGCGUCGCCUCAGUGGCGCUCCCAACGCGACCCCAGGUCAGGCGGGACUACCCGCUGAGUUUAAGCAUAUCAAUAAGCGGAGA